UAUUCUCAACGCUUUACCAGUUAUUAUGUCCGUUGGCAGCCCAGUCCGUAGCUUACGGCCCGGCUGAUGCGAGCCCAAUCCGCAGCUUAUGGCCUGUUCUUAUGGCCUAUGCGAAACAAGAAAACAAAACGGCCCGCGGCCCGCCAGCGAAAAACUACGGCCCGUUACGCGCAUGUUUCACCUGGCGGCCCGGUUCGCAUCUAAACCAGCCUACCUUAUCUGCGCUGAAAAUAAUUUGCGCGAGCCCGGCAAAACGGCCUGCCUCCCUUGCCCGAGCAACUUACAGCCUUAUGGCGAAAAUGGCGCUCUUUAUCUUUCGGCCUGGUUCCUUAAUCGCGAGACUUACGGACUGCAGCGGCCUGUAACGCGCUUACUUUCGGCCUGGGCCUUGAGCCCAAAAACCAACGGAUGGGCCGCCGAAUCGGCCCAGCAUCCGCACCCGCUGCAAUCUCCACCGUCCGUCGGAUGGUCCACCGCGCCGAUCGGGAAAACAAAACGGCGAGUGCGUCGCUGGCCCCCGAACCCUCAUCUAUUUUUGUCUUCUCUGCGCCGCAAAAGUACCCGACACCGAGCAGCCUUUCUCUCUCGCCUCCUCCCCUUCUUCUCCACACAGCGCCGCCGAUGGCCGCCGUGCCGCCGCCCUUGCCGUGCUCCACUACGGGUCCUCUCGCCGGAGCCGGCGUGCGACCUAGUCGCGCGCGGAUCCGUCGAGGGGCCCCGCUGUGGGCCUUAUGGCGAGGCGGUCUGGUGACGACGGCGAGCGGGUCUGAAGCCCGACGGCGUCAACGGAUCGGCACGCGACACGUCAAGCUGAAGAGCGCCGGCGGCCAUACAUGAAGUCCGCUGGAGUUCGGGAUGACGGCGAAACGGCGGACUGGCUGCGGUAGGUGGAUGCGUACGACGGUCCUGAUGUCGUGCGCGCGUCCUCUGAUGCGGCCGGUCAAAGAGGGUGCGGCGACGGCCGCGCGCGGCGGCACUGAUGCCGUGCGCGGCCAUUAACGGAGCUUAGAAGAUCCCCUUAAAGGGCGCUGACGACCCCGUGCCUGCUUGAGGAAGCAGGCAUGAUGUCGAUCCUGACGAGAAACACCAUCACAGCAGAACGGUGGCCGGCGGAGGUCUUCAAGUCCGUGCCCGUGCAAAACUGAUUAGGAGGAAAACUUACCUUCAAGUUGUUUGGGGUGGAGUGCCCCUUCUUAUUAUUAUAUAGCACGGAAUAAUAUAGCACGGGCCGGUCCUUGGGACCAGGCCGUUGGUCAGUUUGUUGGCCCCAAACCAGGGCAACGUGGGAUGGUAGUUAGGUAGUUAACCCCCUUGACUAAGCCAAGAUCAAUUCCAACAUGGACUACCUUCUCAUCCGUCAUCCGUCAGUGAAUGGUGGUCAGCGUUAGAAUCUACCAAUGGAGCUCCCCUAAAAGGGUUGCGGUCUCUAAUCAUCAUCGUGUGCUGGGAAAUAUGAAAGGAAUGCAACGCAAGAGUAUUCCAACGCAAGUUCAAAAGCCUAAACCAACUGCUCUGCAAAAUCAAAGAGGAAGCGCGUUGCUUGAUCUUGGCGGGAGCGGCGCUAUCCUCUAAAUUGAGGAGUGAUCUCAUUUCUUUCAUGUUUGUACAGCUAUAGCUUUUCUUUUAUACUUGGACCUAGAUCUUGUCACUCUCUUCUCUUUUAAUUAAUACAAAUCCGGCACCCUCUAUCGGGUUUUAAGUUUUAAAAAAAAAGUCCUAUGUUUCCUCAACCUGCUGGGUAGAUCGGCCUGUGUAUCUCACUUCCAAUGUACAGACGUCCUUUAAAGAUGAAACAUUCCCACAUCAUAUGAAUUGUUCUGCACCAAGAGAAGACGACCAACCACGCUCUUACCACAUAUAUCCAUCAUAAACCAGUCGCAUUACACAUUGUGAAAAUAGAGGGAAAGUGAAAUCGUAUAUAUGCUUACCUUGUCUAAAUCGGUGGUCGAUGGCCUGGAGCAGCUGAUGCAGGCACAGAGUCAGACCCCUCAAAUGACAUCCUAUUUUCUGUCUCAUAAACUUUCUUCAUUUCUUACAGAAUCUGAAGAGUGAGGAAAACACAUAAUGUCAUCGAUGCAUUUGUUUUCAUGUAAAUUCAUCAAAGAUUAUGAACAAGGUCACAGUACCUGUGGCACAUGUACGUAGAACACCCUAACCCAAAUUGACAAAAUUACGAUGUAUCCUACGGUGCCAAGGGACCACAUAACUGCUUUGGGGGUAUGUGCGCAAAACAGCAGUAUCACACAUAAUCCUGCGCAGUGGAAUAGGAAGACAAGAAGCACCACAUAUUUGAAGACGUGAGUAGAACGGAUGGUCUAGUCAACACACGCAUCUACAAGGAAGUAGCAAUGGCUAAACUUACAUCAAAACAAAACCCAAUCUGUUUGUGACGGCUCUAAUUCUUAUUCCUUAUUAAUACCUAGGAGAACGACCAGGAUCAAGCUGCAAAACUUUCAGCGGGGCUUCACUUACCUGGUAGGGAGCAAAAACAGAGGUCAUGUAACCAGGUUCCGAUCAUGGUCAUGUCACAUCGUUCAGCAAGUUUCGAGUUGUUGGCAUACGACACCUCACCUAUCUUACAUCCCUAUUGACAUCUUUUA